rnacentral:lncRNA from 1 species
GAGAUAGUAAGUAAAAAGAGACCACUACGAGGUAGACAGCUUCCCUUCCUUACUUUUCUUAAUAAGCCCUUGAUCGAGUAGUUCAUCCGAAAGCAUUUGAUCCAUCUUUCUUCUUUACAAAACAAAGAGAACGGGUGACCCCCAAGGUGAUGCACUAGGCCUGAUAAAACCCUUAUCCGUUAGCUCUUGCAACUGCUUCUUGAGCUCUACUA